CCUACGGGAGGCAGCAGUAGGGAAUAUUGCUCAAUGGGGGAAACCCUGAAGCAGCAACGCCGCGUGAGUGAUGAAGGUUUUCGGAUUGUAAACUCCUUUUGUUAGAGAAGAUAAUGACGGUAUCUAACGAAUAAGCACCGGCUAACUACGUGCCAGCAGCCGCGGUAAUACGGAGGGUGCAAGCGUUACUCGGAAUCACUGGGCGUAAAGAGCGCGUAGGCGGGACAGCAAGUCAGAUGUGAAAGGUUAGGGCUUAACCAUAGAACUGCAUUUGAAACUGUUAAUCUAGAGUAUGGGAGAGGUAGGUGGAAUUCUUGGUGUAGCGGUAAAAUGCGUAGAGAUUAAGAGGAAUACUCAUUGCGAAGGCGGCCUGCUAGAACAUAACUGACGCUGAUGCGCGAAAGCGUGGGGAGCAAACAGGAUUAGAUACCCUAGUAGUC
rnacentral:rRNA from 1 species